AUUGAACGCUGGCGGCAGGCCUAACACAUGCAAGUCGAGCGGCAGCGGGAAGUAGCUUGCUACUUUGCCGGCGAGCGGCGGACGGGUGAGUAAUGUCUGGGAAACUGCCUGAUGGAGGGGGAUAACUACUGGAAACGGUAGCUAAUACCGCAUAAUGUCGCAAGACCAAAGAGGGGGACCUUCGGGCCUCUUGCCAUCAGAUGUGCCCAGAUGGGAUUAGCUAGCAGGUGGGGUAACGGCUCACCUAGGCGACGAUCCCUAGCUGGUCUGAGAGGAUGACCAGCCACACUGGAACUGAGACACGGUCCAGACUCCUACGGGAGGCAGCAGUGGGGAAUAUUGCACAAUGGGCGCAAGCCUGAUGCAGCCAUGCCGCGUGUAUGAAGAAGGCCUUCGGGUUGUAAAGUACUUUCAGCGGGGAGGAAGGUGUUGAGGUUAAUAACCUCAGCAAUUGACGUUACCCGCAGAAGAAGCACCGGCUAACUCCGUGCCAGCAGCCGCCGUAA
rnacentral:rRNA from 1 species